ACUCAGGUGUUGUUGGGUAGGGGAGCGUUCUGUAAGCCUGUGAAGGUGUGUCGUGAGGCAUGCUGGAGGUAUCAGAAGUGCGAAUGCUGACAUAAGUAACGAUAAAGCGGGUGAAAAGCCCGCUCGCCGGAAGACCAAGGGUUCCUGUCCAACGUUAAUCGGGGCAGGGUGAGUCGACCCCUAAGGCGAGGCCGAAAGGCGUAGUCGAUGGGAAACGGGUUAAUAUUCCCGUACUUGGUGUUACUGCGAAGGGGGGACGGAGAAGGCUAUGUUGGCCGGGCGACGGUUGUCCCGGUUUAAGCGUGUAGGUGUGUGUUCCAGGUAAAUCCGGUUCACUUUAACACUGAGGCGUGACGACGAGGCACUACGGUGCUGAAGCAACAAAUGCCCUGCUUCCAGGAAAAGCCUCUAAGCAUCAGGUAACAUCAAAUCGUACCCCAAACCGACACAGGUGGUCAGGUAGAGAAUACCAAGGCGCUUGAGAGAACUCGGGUGAAGGAACUAGGCAAAAUGGUGCCGUAACUUCGGGAGAAGGCACGCUGACAC
rnacentral:rRNA from 1 species